AGAGUUUGAUCUUGGCUCACAUUUUUACGCUGGCGGAAUGCUUUACACAUGCAAGUCGAACGAUGAACCCUAGCUUGCUAGGGGGAUUGGUGGCGAAUGGGUGAGGAGUAUAUCGGAACGUGGCUUGUAAUGGGGGAUAACUAGUCGAAAGAUUAGCUAAUACCGCAUACGCCCUGUGGGGGAGAGUAGGGGAUCUUCGGACCUUAGGUUAGAAGAGCGGGCGAGAUCUGAUUACCUAGUAGGUGGGGUAAUGGCCUACCAAGGCAUCGAUCAGUAGCUGGUCUGAGAGGACGACCAGCCACACUGGAACUGAGACACGGUCCUCACUCCUACGGGAGGCAGCAGUGGGGAAUUUUGGACAAUGGGCGAAAGCCUGAUCCAGCCAUUCCGCGUGAGUGAAGAAGGCCUUCGGGUUGUAAAGCUCUUUCGCAAGGGAAGAAAACUUACACAAUAACACUGUGUGAGGAUGACGGUACCUUGAUAAGAAGCACCGGCUAACUACGUGCCAGCAGCCGCGGUAAUACGUAGGGUGCGAGCGUUAAUCGGAAUUACUGGGCGUAAAGCGUGCGCAGGCGGUUUGGCAAGUCAGAUGUGAAAUCCCCGAGCUCAACUUGGGAACUGCGUUUGAAACUGCCAGACUAGAAUAUGUCAAGGGGGGUAGAAUUCCCGUGUAGCAGUGAAAUGCGUACAGAUGUGGAGAAUACCAAUGGCGAAGGCAGCCCCCUGGGAUAAUAUUGACGCCUCAUGCUACGAAAGGCGUGCGGAGUAAACAGGAAUAGUUACCCUGGUAAGUCCACGCCCUAAACGAUGUCUACUAGUGAUGGUGGAGUAAAAUCCUUGGAGUAAUCGCAGCUUAACGGCGUGAAGAUGACCGGCCUGGGGGAGUACGAGCCGCAAGAUUUAAACUCAAAUGAAUUGACGG
rnacentral:rRNA from 1 species